rnacentral:lncRNA from 1 species
GAAAAUUUUGUUGUUUGGAGUUGUGGUCCAUGAUAUUACACUUUCUCCACUCUGUAGGCAAAGGUUCAAAAUGAUAUAAUUGCUGUUUUAUUUGCUCCAUAUAUUCAAGUCUGCUAAUUGUCAAGUUUCCUGUUUUAGUUGCAGAUUCUUUAAGUUUCAAGCUUAUCUUAAAGAAAAUUUUCUGGUUAUAAAGGCAAAUUAAUGCAGCUGCGUGUAAGUGGCCACUAGAAAUAACAGAAGAGAAUCGAGAGAUCAAGCAAUUAGGUUAUAAAGGAAAGAAGGAAUGGCUGUUUAAUACAAUGUUGUCUUGUGCAAUGCAAUCACUAAUAUCUCAGAGUGGGUGUGGGAAGGAUUUAAACAAAUAUAAUACUUGUAAAAUACCUCAGUCAACUUGUAUCUAAGAGUAGCCUAGUACCUUGGAGUUAAGUAAUGAAUUCAACUGAUUGAUAAGCGAAGAGUAUCUUGAUGCGAUACUCAAGGAAAAUUCAUUUCCAUGCAAGUUUUAUCUAUUUUUUGCUCAUGUUUCUUAAAUUUAUGAGUUUAAAACUAUUAUAUCUUAUAGAUUUUUUGAUAAAUGUGCACUGUUUUUUAUUGGUAUAUUUCUUGUUUAUGAUAUAUCACAUCUUAGUUGCAUGAAAUUCUUAAUGUUUUAUGCUGAUUACCAAUGUAUUAUAAAUGUGCACAAUUCUUAUCCUUGGUAGUGGUGAUGUUUCAAUUGGUCUUGAACAAAAGAUAGAGAAUUACCCCUGGCCAUAGAGAGAAACUAUUGCCAUAGCUCGAACCCUGGUCACUGAGGUCUUAAAGGAACAAUUUUAUUUUCAUGCCAUGUUUGACUUCAAUGUUUAGUUGAUCUUGAACCCUCUAGAUUUUGUGAUUGAUGAAGAUAUGGCAAUUGAAAUUCUGAUUUUUUGUUUAUGUAUUAAAAUCCAUGUAGAUCCAUGUAGCCAACUCAAACAGUUGGGACAUCACAGAUGUUGUUGUUGUUCUUUUUUUGUAUUAAUAUAGUCUUUAAGAUUUGAUAAUUGAUUGAUGAACGUUUGAGAGGUGAUAUGCCAGAAGGGUAUUAACUCAGAGGGUGUACAUUUGAGGUCAUCUCUUGUCCUCUUUCCAACCAUUUUAAGGAAUUUAUUUGUAAAUGUUCAAUUGAACCUUCUAGAUUCAAACUUUUCUUUUCUCUGGUCACCAUAUAUCUGGAAAAAGGAUUGAAUGAUGAUUAUUUUGUAUGAGAAUCAAUCCCAUUUCUUGCUAUGUUGAAGGAUAUUAGUUUAUUGUGAUACCUAAAAUGUUGCCUCUAAGACAUCCAUUUAUUUGGAGACAACAAUUUUCUUGAAGGUUUACAAUUUAUAGUUCAUCUUCAUGUUA